CAACUUCUCCUAUUUGAAUGACAACAAGACAAAUAAGUCACUCAACCUCCUUUCUUUAUAUUUGCAGACUGUUAGUUGUUUCAAAAGAGUCCUUAAAAUCACAAAUUACAAAUUGAAAUAACUAUGCUUCCUUCUUCAACCUAACAACAUUUACAUAUAUUCUUAAAUUGAACCAUUGAUAGAUAGAUGAGUUUAGGGGCAGAGAUAAUGAUUGGCUUUGUAGGCUUGUGGAGUGUGAUUAUGAGGCCAAUAAUGUUCCAAUAUGCUGUAGAGAUUGGAGAAGUGAUGACAUGCACCAUCCAUCGGAUUAUAAGGGAAUGGCAUUUUUUUGUUCUCUCAAACUAUAUUUCAUAGUUCAUCAUUAAUUUCUCAUCUUAUUGGGAAACAUCUCUUCUUCUACAAAUUAUUGUAUGUCUUCAUUAACCUUGGACAAUUCUUGUUUAUUUUAUUUUAUUUUUCUUUUAAUUCCAAAAGUAUAUACCUACAAGUUGAAAACUCUAGCCAUUUUUUGUGGUGGAGAUGUAACUAAAUAACAUUUGCUUAUGAAUUAUGACUUAUGUUUCCAUUUGAAUGUUAUUUGGAUGUUUUGAAUAAUUUACUAGCUAGUUGUUGAGCUUGAAUUUCGAUAUUUGUUUUAUUACCCUUGUUGUACAUAAGUUCAUAUUUCCCUUCCGUGGAAAAUUAGAAACAGAGGACAAAAUUGUUUGUUAUAUUAAUGCAUUUCCAUGUUUCUUAUAUUCUUUGUAAAGGGAAUUAUUGUGUUGAUAACUUAAAUCUUGUGACACUUUUAUAGUUUUUU
rnacentral:lncRNA from 1 species